GCGUAGGUGACAGAGCGGUCAAAUGUAGCGGACUGUAAAUUCGCCGCCUUCGGGCUACGCAGGUUCGAAUCCUGCCCUACGCA
rnacentral:tRNA from 1 species